rnacentral:misc_RNA from 1 species
UCACGUAUCCACGUAUAAACCAUUGUGAACUGUAUUCUGCCCUGUAGUAUGGAAUUUUGUGAUGGAUUAUGGCUUCGGUUAUAAUCUUUCCUUCUACAGUGUAUAAUCACUUAAUUAACAAUUUAAACCUUUAAUUUAAUUUUUGAACUGAUCUAUUUCUUACUCUUCGGAGAAGAAAUUUCAUUACGAAACAAAGAA